rnacentral:rRNA from 1 species
UCCGUAGGGUGCGAGCGUUAAUCGGAAUUACUGGGCGUAAAGCGUGCGCAGGCGGUCCGCUAAGACAGGUGUGAAAUCCCUGGGCUCAACCUAGGAAUUGCGCUUGUGACUGGCGGGCUAGAGUACGGUAGAGGGGGGUGGAAUUCCUGGUGUAGCAGUGAAAUGCGUAGAGAUCAGGAGGAACACCGAUGGCGAAGGCAGCCCCCUGGGCCUGUACUGACGCUCAGGCACGAAAGCGUGGGGAGCAAACAGG